CCCGCACGACUUUCAGUCACAGUUGAAAAAAAAAACUCAUGGAAAUGGAAGCAGCUUUUGUCUACCGAAGGCAAAUCAACCGGUUCCAGGUUCCACGAUGUGUGGAACGGGGUGCUCAAGAUGCGGCACUGGUGCUGGAAAAUAUGCUGCAUUCGUCCUUUCAUAGGAAAUGGAUAAAACUUGGACCGUUUUCGAUAAUCUCCACCAACGGAAGGACUCUCAGAGAUGCUCUUCCGAAUCUUUGGGCAGCACACCGUUUUAGAAGAGCUACCGCCGAGGAUUUUCGACAUGUUACUUCUCUUGUCGCUGCUGGUCGAGGUGGAGAGGACAGAAUCGCCGGUACAUUUUUCCCAAAUGAAUUGAUUCAAAAAAUGAGAAAAUUAUAAGAUUUAUUUUAUUUAAACUUAAUUUAAAAGCAAAAGCAAAGUGAUUGUGGGAUUUAAACAAUAAAACAACAUGAACAUA